rnacentral:tRNA from 2 species
GCGCAUGUGGCGUAAUUGGUAGCCGCGCCAGACUUAGGAUCUGGUGCUUCACGGCGUGGGGGUUCGAGUCCCUCCAUGCGCA